UGGCUCAGCGGUUAAGAGCACUGGCUGCUCUUCCAGAGGACCUGAGUUCAAAUCUCAG
rnacentral:tRNA from 1 species